AUUGAACGCUGGCGGCAGGCCUAACACAUGCAAGUCGAGCGGAUGAAGGGAGCUUGCUCCUGGAUUCAGCGGCGGACGGGCGAGUAAUGCCUAGGAAUCUGCCUGGUAGUGGGGGAUAACGUCCGGACACGGGCGCUAAUACCGCAUACGUCCUGAGGGAGAAAGUGGGGGAUCUUCGGACCUCACGCUAUCAGCUGAGCCUAGGUCGGAUUAGCUAGUUGGUGGGGUAAAGGCCUACCAAGGCGACGAUCCGUAACUGGUCUGAGAGGAUGAUCAGUCACACUGGAACUGAGACACGGUCCAGACUCCUACGGGAGGCAGCAGUGGGGAAUAUUGGGCAAUGGGCGAAAGCCUGAUCCAGCCAUGCCGCGUGUGUGAAGAAGGUCUUCGGAUUGUAAAGCACUUUAAGUUGGGAGGAAGGACAGUAAGUUAAUACCUGGCUGUUUUGACGUUACCAACAGAAUAAGCACCGGCUAACUUCGUG
rnacentral:rRNA from 1 species